rnacentral:rRNA from 1 species
UACGGGGGGGGCAAGCGUUGUUCGGAAUUACUGGGCGUAAAGGGCUCGUAGGCGGCCAACUAAGUCGGACGUGAAAUCCCUCGGCUUAACCGGGGAACUGCGUCCGAUACUGGAUGGCUUGAGUUUGGGAGAGGGAUGCGGAAUUCCAGGUGUAGCGGUGAAAUGCGUAGAUAUCUGGAGGAACACCGGUGGCGAAGGCGGCAUCCUGGACCAACACUGACGCUGAGGAGCGAAAGCCAGGGGAGCAAAGCGGG